UCCAUCUUAGAAGCAUCUCCGCCAGCAUCACAAUCUUCAUCAUCACUGAAGCGAGAGCAAGGCACUCUCCUUGCAUCCUUUUCAUCUCCCAUGUUACCUCUUUCGAUUCUUUACCACUUAAGGUAGAUUAGAGUUUAGCCUUUUUCUGAAAUGGGAAUUCAAGGUUUUCUUGUAGAGGAGUGGGUUCAAGGUAAGCAAGGAUGAGAUCUAGGCUCUGCGACAUUAAUGGUGGAUUGGAGUGUUCUUACAUGCCAUGGGAAUGAAGGAUGGUACCAAAGAAAAAGGGUGAAGGAGGGCAAAAGAGAAGAUAU
rnacentral:lncRNA from 1 species